rnacentral:RNase_P_RNA from 1 species
GUGGCAGGCGAUCGCUGGCUGGAAAUUCUUCUCGCCAGAGGAAAGUCCGAACACCGCAGGGUGGCAUGCCUUGUGAAAACAAGGGUACUUGGGGUGCAAAUCCCGAGUAACGGAAAGUGUCACAGAAAACAAACCGCCCGCCCAUUAGUUGGCAGUGGUGAGCGUCAGUGGCAGGUGACGCAGAAAGGAAAACAGAGCAAAACUGACAACUGAUACUGGCCAUUGGCAACUAAUGGUGCUGGGUAAGGGUGAAAAGGCGGGGUAAGAGCCCACCGGAUUCUCGCGUAAGCGGGAUCGCACGAAAAACCCCAUGUGGUGCAAGACAAAGCAGAGGGAAGAGUUGCCCGCUCGUUCUUCCGUGAAGUCGGUAAGAAUCCCUCGGGUAAUAGUCGCACCCGGCGCCCUUGAAGCCGGGCAUUCAGGAGACUGAGUGAGAUAAAUGAUCGUCACUGCGCGAAAACGCAGACAGAAUUCGGCUUACGCCAUGCAA